CAAUGGCAAGCCCAUUAUUCUACAAUGGGUUGGGGAGUGCAAAACCAGAUACAGGGUGAUGACCAACAAAGUGCUCACUAGGCCCAACCGUACCAAGCCCUGUUUUUGACACAAUCAUCAUGUGGCUAAAAAAACGCGUGGGAUUAAACUUGAAUUUGAACAAAAAUACGUGUCACUCUCCAAUUCACCAUCUUAGGGAAGUCCAACAUAAGACCACCGCGGGCCACCACGCUGGGAAUCUCCUCCGGCGGCGGUGGCCACCAUAAAUCCAAAUCUCAACCAUCACAUGAACCGUCUCACCACACUCUAUCAAAGCCCUAAGUCAAUUGCUCCCAAAUCCAACUCAAUCAUCUAAACUGGAGAGUACCAGGCAGAAACCUAAACGCGUAAUUCAACACGAUUCGAAGGCUCAAAGCAACAUAAGGGAUCCCAACCCUAGAGGCUUGAUCCCCCUGGUACCAUAUUACAUCUCAACAAUGAAGGUAAGCAAUGAAUUUGAACGAAAAUUAACCUCUGUAAUGGAGUAUCAACGACACCGGAAUCGAAUGGCAAGAAAAUAACAAAGACAUUUCAAGGGUUAUGGUCCACAUUUGGUGCUUACCUGGUCAUGAACUGACUGAUGUUGUAUGGGCUGCAGAAUGUUGUGAUUUUUCACAUGAAGCUAGGCAUUGGUUUCCAGCAGGUUCAAUUUGCAACAUGGUUGAGGUUUGCCUUCUGACUUGAUGUGGUGCAGCAGGGUUUCUGGCAUGGUUCAAUGGAGUGUUUUGCCAUAGUAUUGGCAUCUGGUGCAAGUUAGAAACUAAUAAACCAUUAAAUUAUGUUGGCUCAGUUAGGUUAGACUUGAAGUUCAUUUAAAUGUUAACUCAAUUAGGUUGGUCUGUCAUUCAUAGUGGGAUUUUGAUACUGCGGUAGGUUAACUUGUUUUGCACUGUUACGAUUGUUUGAAAGAACCAAAUGCUGCCAUGUAUCUUUUGUUAUGUGAUAUGAAGAAAUGAUUGCAAUGA